GGCAGAUUAGUGAAAUGGUUUAUCACGGCUGACUCAUAUUCAGCAAUUACAAGUUCAAUUCUUGUAUCUGCUA
rnacentral:tRNA from 1 species